rnacentral:rRNA from 1 species
UACAGAGGAUGCAAGCGUUAUCCGGAAUGAUUGGGCGUAAAGCGUCUGUAGGUGGCUUUUUAAGUCCGCCGUCAAAUCCCAGGGCUCAACUCUGGACAGGCGGUGGAAACUACCAAGCUGGAGUACGGUAGGGGCAGAGGGAAUUUCCGGUGGAGCGGUGAAAUGCGCAGAUAUCGGGAGGAACACCCGUAGCGAAGGCGGCACUCUGGGCCGGUACUGACGCUGAGGAGCGAAAGCGUGGGGAGCAAACAGG